rfam:Rattus norvegicus chromosome 19, whole genome shotgun sequence.
GGGGAUUUAGCUCAGUGGUAGAGCGCUUGCCUAGGAAGCGCAAGGCCCUGGGGUUCGGUCCCCAGCCCCCC